rnacentral:rRNA from 1 species
UACGUAGGUGGCAAGCGUUGUCCGGAUUUACUGGGCGUAAAGAGCGCGCAGGCGGUCGUUCAAGUCGCGUGUGAAAGCCCCCGGCUCAACUGGGGAGGGUCACGCGAUACUGAUCGACUCGAAGGCAGGAGAGGGAAGUGGAAUUCCCGGUGUAGUGGUGAAAUGCGUAGAUAUCGGGAGGAACACCAGUGGCGAAGGCGGCUUACUGGACCGGUUCUGACGCUGAGGCGCGAAAGCGUGGGGAGCAAACGGG